rnacentral:rRNA from 1 species
UUGAACGCUGGCGGCAGGCCUAACACAUGCAAGUCGAACGGUAACAGGAAGCAGCUUGCUGCUUUGCUGACGAGUGGCGGACGGGUGAGUAAUGUCUGGGAAACUGCCUGAUGGAGGGGGAUAACUACUGGAAACGGUGGCUAAUACCGCAUAACGUCGCAAGACCAAAGAGGGGGACCUUCGGGCCUCUUGCCAUCAGAUGUGCCCAGAUGGGAUUAGCUUGUUGGUGAGGUAACGGCUCACCAAGGCGACGAUCCCUAGCUGGUCUGAGAGGAUGACCAGCCACACUGGAACUGAGACACGGUCCAGACUCCUACGGGAGGCAGCAGUGGGGAAUAUUGCACAAUGGGCGCAAGCCUGAUGCAGCCAUGCCGCGUGUAUGAAGAAGGCCUUCGGGUUGUAAAGUACUUUCAGCGGGGAGGAAGGUGUUGUGGUUAAUAACCGCAGCAAUUGACGUUACCCGCAGAAGAAGCACCGGCUAACUCCGUGCCAGCAGCCGCGGUAAUACGGAGGGUGCAAGCGUUAAUCGGAAUUACUGGGCGUAAAGCGCACGCAGGCGGUCUGUCAAGUCGGAUGUGAAAUCCCCGGGCUCAACCUGGGAACUGCAUUCGAAACUGGCAGGCUUGAGUCUUGUAGAGGGGGGUAGAAUUCCAGGUGUAGCGGUGAAAUGCGUAGAGAUCUGGAGGAAUACCGGUGGCGAAGGCGGCCCCCUGGACAAAGACUGACGCUCAGGUGCGAAAGCGUGGGGAGCAAACAGGAUUAGAUACCCUGGUAGUCCACGCCGUAAACGAUGUCUACUUGGAGGUUGUGCCCUUGAGGCGUGGCUUCCGGAGCUAACGCGUUAAGUAGACCGCCUGGGGAGUACGGCCGCAAGGUUAAAACUCAAAUGAAUUGACGGGGGCCCGCACAAGCGGUGGAGCAUGUGGUUUAAUUCGAUGCAACGCGAAGAACCUUACCUGGUCUUGACAUCCACAGAAGAAUCCAGAGAUGGAUUUGUGCCUUCGGGAACUGUGAGACAGGUGCUGCAUGGCUGUCGUCAGCUCGUGUUGUGAAAUGUUGGGUUAAGUCCCGCAACGAGCGCAACCCUUAUCCUUUGUUGCCAGCGGUUAGGCCGGGAACUCAAAGGAGACUGCCAGUGAUAAACUGGAGGAAGGUGGGGAUGACGUCAAGUCAUCAUGGCCCUUACGACCAGGGCUACACACGUGCUACAAUGGCGCAUACAAAGAGAAGCGACCUCGCGAGAGCAAGCGGACCUCAUAAAGUGCGUCGUAGUCCGGAUUGGAGUCUGCAACUCGACUCCAUGAAGUCGGAAUCGCUAGUAAUCGUGGAUCAGAAUGCCACGGUGAAUACGUUCCCGGGCCUUGUACACACCGCCCGUCACACCAUGGGAGUGGGUUGCAAAAGAAGUAGGUAGCUUAACCUUCGGGAGGGCGCUUACCACUUUGUGAUUCAUGACUGGGGUGAAGUCGUAACAAGGUAACCGUAGGGGAACCUGCGGUUGGAUCACCUCCUUACCUUAAAGAA